AAUCCUGCAUCAAGUGCGUUGCU
rnacentral:miRNA from 1 species